rnacentral:sRNA from 1 species
AAAAAAGAAACAGCAUUGAUAAUUUUAGGUGCUCAGAAAUUUGAAUUUUAAAAAUAUAGUGUCUCUUGGUACAAUAACAAUACAACUACUAGGGGGCACUUUUUUA